rnacentral:rRNA from 1 species
GCGGACGGGUGAGUAACACGUGGAUAACCUACCUAUAAGACUGGGAUAACUUCGGGAAACCGGAGCUAAUACCGGAUAAUAUUUUGAACCGCAUGGUUCAAAAGUGAAAGACGGUCUUGCUGUCACUUAUAGAUGGAUCCGCGCUGCAUUAGCUAGUUGGUAAGGUAACGGCUUACCAAGGCAACGAUGCAUAGCCGACCUGAGAGGGUGAUCGGCCACACUGGAACUGAGACACGGUCCAGACUCCUACGGGAGGCAGCAGUAGGGAAUCUUCCGCAAUGGGCGAAAGCCUGACGGAGCAACGCCGCGUGAGUGAUGAAGGUCUUCGGAUCGUAAAACUCUGUUAUUAGGGAAGAACAUAUGUGUAAGUAACUGUGCACAUCUUGACGGUACCUAAUCAGAAAGCCACGGCUAACUACGUGCCAGCAGCCGCGGUAAUACGUAGGUGGCAAGCGUUAUCCGGAAUUAUUGGGCGUAAAGCGCGCGUAGGCGGUUUUUUAAGUCUGAUGUGAAAGCCCACGGCUCAACCGUGGAGGGUCAUUGGAAACUGGAAAACUUGAGUGCAGAAGAGGAAAGUGGAAUUCCAUGUGUAGCGGUGAAAUGCGCAGAGAUAUGGAGGAACACCAGUGGCGAAGGCGACUUUCUGGUCUGUAACUGACGCUGAUGUGCGAAAGCGUGGGGAUCAAACAGGAUUAGAUACCCUGGUAGUCCACGCCGUAAACGAUGAGUGCUAAGUGUUAGGGGGUUUCCGCCCCUUAGUGCUGCAGCUAACGCAUUAAGCACUCCGCCUGGGGAGUACGACCGCAAGGUUGAAACUCAAAGGAAUUGACGGGGACCCGCACAAGCGGUGGAGCAUGUGGUUUAAUUCGAAGCAACGCGAAGAACCUUACCAAAUCUUGACAUCCUUUGACAACUCUAGAGAUAGAGCCUUCCCCUUCGGGGGACAAAGUGACAGGUGGUGCAUGGUUGUCGUCAGCUCGUGUCGUGAGAUGUUGGGUUAAGUCCCGCAACGAGCGCAACCCUUAAGCUUAGUUGCCAUCAUUAAGUUGGGCACUCUAAGUUGACUGCCGGUGACAAACCGGAGGAAGGUGGGGAUGACGUCAAAUCAUCAUGCCCCUUAUGAUUUGGGCUACACACGUGCUACAAUGGACAAUACAAAGGGCAGCGAAACCGCGAGGUCAAGCAAAUCCCAUAAAGUUGUUCUCAGUUCGGAUUGUAGUCUGCAACUCGACUACAUGAAGCUGGAAUCGCUAGUAAUCGUAGAUCAGCAUGCUACGGUGAAUACGUUCCCGGGUCUUGUACACACCGCCCGUCACACCACGAGAGUUUGUAACACCCGAAGCCGGUGGAGUAACCUUUUAGGAGCUAGCCGUCGAAGGUGGGACAAAUGAUUGGGGUGAAGUCGUAACAAGGUAGCCGUAUCGGAAGGUGCGGCUGGAUCACCUCCUUU